UGCCAGAGCCAUAUCAACCUGCACCCCAAGACCACUUACUUACUGAAGCUAAGCAGGGCUGAAGCUGGUCAGUACCUGGAUGGGAGACCACACAAGCAAACUAGGUAGCUGUUGGAA
rnacentral:rRNA from 1 species